rnacentral:rRNA from 1 species
UAAAGACCACAGCUUAACUGUGGGGGGGCCUUGGAAACUGACCGGCUGGAGUGGGGCAGGGGUUGCGGGAAUUCCCGGUGUAGCGGUGAAAUGCGUAGACAUCGGGAAGAACACCUGAGGCGAAAGCGCGCAACUGGGCCCUACCUGACGCUGAGGUACGAAAGCUAGGGGAGCGAAUGGGAUUAGAUACCCCAGUAGUCCUAGCCGUAAACGAUGGACACUAGACGUUGGCCGACCAACCCGGUCAGUGUCGUAGCUAACGCGUUAAGUGUCCCGCCUGGGGAGUACGCACGCAAGUGUGAAACUCAAAGGAAUUGACGGGGGCCCGCACAAGCGGUGGAGCAUGUGGUUUAAUUCGAUGCAAACCGAAGAACCUUACCAGGUCUUGACAUGCCGCGAACCCUGCGGAAACGUGGGGGUGCCUUCGGGAGCGCGGACACAGGUGGUGCAUGGCUGUCGUCAGCUCGUGUCGUGAGAUGCUGCGUUAAGUCCCGCAACGAGCGCAACCCCUGCGGUUAGUUACACGUGUCUAACCGGACUGCCGUUCGGGGAGGAAGGCGGGGAUGACGUCAAGUCCGCAUGGCCCUUAUGUCUGGGGCGACACACACGCUACAAUGGCGCCGACAAUGCGUCGCUACCGCGCAAGCGGAUGCCAAUCGCCAAACGGCGCCCCAGUGCAGAUCGGGGGCUGCAACUCGCCCCCGUGAAGGCGGAGUUGCUAGUAACCGC